ACCUGAGUGGCUCAGUGGUUGAGCAUCUGCCUUUGGCUCAGGUCAUGAUCCCGGGGUCCUGGGAUUGAGUCCCACAUCAGGUU
rnacentral:tRNA from 1 species